rnacentral:rRNA from 1 species
GACGAACACUGGCGGCGUGCCUAAUACAUGCAAGUCGAGCGAAUCAUUAGGAGCUUGCUCCUGAUGGUUAGCGGCGGACGGGUGAGUAACACGUGGGCAACCUGCCUGUAAGACUGGGAUAACUUCGGGAAACCGGAGCUAAUACCGGAUAAUCCUUUUCCUCGCACGAGGAAGAGCUGAAAGACGGUUUCGGCUGUCACUUACAGAUGGGCCCGCGGCGCAUUAGCUAGUUGGUGAGGUAACGGCUCACCAAGGCGACGAUGCGUAGCCGACCUGAGAGGGUGAUCGGCCACACUGGGACUGAGACACGGCCCAGACUCCUACGGGAGGCAGCAGUAGGGAAUCUUCCGCAAUGGACGAAAGUCUGACGGAGCAACGCCGCGUGAACGAUGAAGGCCUUCGGGUCGUAAAGUUCUGUUGUUAGGGAAGAACAAGUAUCGGAGUAACUGCCGGUACCUUGACGGUACCUAACCAGAAAGCCACGGCUAACUACGUGCCAGCCGCCGCAGUAACAC